CCGCCCGGCUCCUCCCGGAGAGGCAGGGGGAGCUCGGGGACCCCCUCUCCCCGGCAGGUCGGCCUUGCGAUCGUCCCUCCCCCGGGCGGGCGGGCAGUGCUCUGCGGUGUCUCUCCGCGUCCCUCCCCCCGGGCGGGCGGUCGGUCUGCGGCGUCUCUCCCUCUCUCUCUCCCCCCCCCCCUUCUCCGGCAGGCCGUGCGAGCGCGGCGGGGCGGGCACUUACCGCUCCGGCAGGCGGAGAAGCGUCGUCGUCGUCGUCCUCCGGCGACGGCGGCCCGAUCUUACUGCAGUGGCGUAUAAUGUAUGCAAAUCUCCCAGCAGCCAAACAGUGCUAACCCCUGUACUGAAAGUAGUUCCAAGGGCUCCGCCAGAAAGAGGAGAUGAGAAGACUUGAUGCAUGGCCUGUGUAUAUUAGGUGGUGAACAGUAUAAGGAUACCAGAAGUGCCUUUCACAUAGACUUGUGGAAUAAAAUGAAUGAAGAGUCAAGCACUGGAGCACACUGUAUAAAUAUGGAAUUCGUAUAAGAACGUGGAUUGGGAUAGUAGUCCAAAAGGUAAUGUAUUUUCACAAAAUAUGCAAGGCUGCCUUUGCACCUAGAAGAAAGCUGCGACAAGGUGUACCUAGGAACAAAAAAGAAGACAAAAUGAUAGUGCCUUGUGCUGAGCGAUGCAACAAAAUUGCCAUAGUCCAUCACCACUGGCUGUAUCAAGAACCAGAUGUGAUGUCCUUCACAAUAAAAAUGUAUGUGUAUUUAAGGCGCAAGGAACCCAAGUCGUGGCAAUAUUGUCUAUAUAUCACCAAGUGAUUAACUCCAGAUACAGCAGAGGUUCCACAAAUGUUUUUCAAGCACAUUCAUUGUGCUGCAUUUGGUUGAAAGACCCAAUAAUAUUGGAGGGUUUUCUAAAAUACUCUCAGGUUUCUUACGGGCUUUGUUCAUGGAACAAAAUUAGCCACACAAAAAAGGUUUCCAAACAAGCAACAAGUGGAAGUUUUCUUGAAACAGCCACUUCCUGGGGUGUCGGUGAUAAAUAGUUAUUCAACAGGGUUGCAAUGUGUUUGCAUGCUAUUCUGUUUACUGAAGCGGGGUUGAUGUGACAAACAAGCAUUGACAAACAAAAUAAUUCAGAAGAACCCAAGGCCCUAUGCAAACAUAUAAUGUGGCUCUGAAAUGCUCCUGUUAAGGGCUUUUGAAAUGACUGUGAUGAUCCAAACAUAUUAUAACAUGGACAUCACUGGUGUUCUCCAUCAUUACUGGGAAGCAAAUAUUUCAGGUUCAAGUUUAAAACACUAUUUUAGAGGUCUGGUAAGAAUUUUAUUAUCUUGACAGAAACAGAUUAGUUGACUCAGAUACCCCUAUAUUCAGAGAUCAAAAACAGCAAAAGAAAACAUAUUUUUCAACUAGCAAAAAUUUUCUCCCAAGUUUUGGGGUGUGUCACCUUGGCCCAAUAUACUCUCCACACUUUUAAGGUAUUAAAACAACUUUCAAAACCUCCUUAUCCUUUUGCUCAAAACAAGUACAAGCUGGAAGCUAUUUGAGUGCACAAGUCAGAGAUCCCUACCACUUUGUAUUGAUAUUACUGCUUGAUACAUUCUACUCAAUAAAAUUAUAUUUUUAUAUUUACA